CCUACGGGCGGCAGCAGUGGGGAAUAUUGCACAAUGGGGGAAACCCUGAUGCAGCGACGCCGCGUGAGUGAAGAAGUAUUUCGGUAUGUAAAGCUCUAUCAGCAGGGAAGAAAAUGACGGUACCUGAUUAAGAAGCCCCGGCUACCUACGGGCCAGCAGCCGCGGUAAUACGUAGGGGGCAAGCGUUAUCCGGAUUUACUGGUUGGAAAGGGAGCGUAGACGGCAGCACAAGUCUGGAGUGAAAUGCCGGGGCUUAACCCCGGACCUGCUUUGGAACUGUGCAGCGAGAGUGCAGGAGAGGUAAGUGGAAUUCCGAGUGUAGCGGUGAAAUGCGUAGAUAUUAGGAGGAACACCAGUGGCGAAGGCGGCUUACUGGACUGUAACUGACGUUGAGGCUCGAAAGCGUGGGGAGCAAACAGGAUUAGAUACCCGAGUAGUC
rnacentral:rRNA from 1 species